CUGAAAGUGGACUGAUUUAAUUGCCUCGUCCCGAUAGCUAUUGGGGGGCACCGGAUUGCAACCACGUAAAAAAGUGCUAAAACCAUGCUU
rfam:Mucilaginibacter sp. OK098 genome assembly, contig: Ga0066759_106